rnacentral:misc_RNA from 1 species
GAUGAAGAACGCAGCGAAAUGCGAUACUUGGUGUGAAUUGCAGAAUCCCGUGAACCAUCGAGUCUUUGAACGCAAGUUGCGCCCGAAGCCACUAGGCCGAGGGCACGCCUGCCUGGGCGUCACACGCCGUUGCCCCCCCAUCUACUCCUUCGGGAUUGCGGGGGGGCGGAUGAUGGCCUCCUGUGCGCCUAGCCGCGCGGUUGGCAUAAAUACCAAGUCCUCGGCGACGCACGCCACGACAAUCGGUGGUUGCGAAACCUCGGUUGCCCGUCGUGUGCGUUCGUCGCGCAUCGAGGGCUCGAAAAAAUGCUCGGCUCCGGCUGGGCUUUCAACGCGACCCCAGGUCAGGCGGGGUUACCCGCUGAGUUUAAGCAUAUCAAUAAGCGGAGGA